rnacentral:tRNA from 1 species
GCGGGUAUAGUUCAAUGGUAGAACAUUAGCCUUCCAAGCUAAAUAUGCGGGUUCGAUUCCCGCUACCCGCUCCA